rnacentral:rRNA from 2 species
AGAGUUUGAUCAUGGCUCAGAUUGAACGCUGGCGGCAGGCCUAACACAUGCAAGUCGAGCGGUAGCACAGAGAGCUUGCUCUCGGGUGACGAGCGGCGGACGGGUGAGUAAUGUCUGGGAAACUGCCUGAUGGAGGGGGAUAACUACUGGAAACGGUAGCUAAUACCGCAUAACGUCGCAAGACCAAAGUGGGGGACCUUCGGGCCUCAUGCCAUCAGAUGUGCCCAGAUGGGAUUAGCUAGUAGGUGGGGUAACGGCUCACCUAGGCGACGAUCCCUAGCUGGUCUGAGAGGAUGACCAGCCACACUGGAACUGAGACACGGUCCAGACUCCUACGGGAGGCAGCAGUGGGGAAUAUUGCACAAUGGGCGCAAGCCUGAUGCAGCCAUGCCGCGUGUGUGAAGAAGGCCUUCGGGUUGUAAAGCACUUUCAGCGGGGAGGAAGGCGAUAAGGUUAAUAACCUUGUUGAUUGACGUUACCCGCAGAAGAAGCACCGGCUAACUCCGUGCCAGCAGCCGCGGUAAUACGGAGGGUGCAAGCGUUAAUCGGAAUUACUGGGCGUAAAGCGCACGCAGGCGGUCUGUCAAGUCGGAUGUGAAAUCCCCGGGCUCAACCUGGGAACUGCAUUCGAAACUGGCAGGCUAGAGUCUUGUAGAGGGGGGUAGAAUUCCAGGUGUAGCGGUGAAAUGCGUAGAGAUCUGGAGGAAUACCGGUGGCGAAGGCGGCCCCCUGGACAAAGACUGACGCUCAGGUGCGAAAGCGUGGGGAGCAAACAGGAUUAGAUACCCUGGUAGUCCACGCCGUAAACGAUGUCGAUUUGGAGGUUGUGCCCUUGAGGCGUGGCUUCCGGAGCUAACGCGUUAAAUCGACCGCCUGGGGAGUACGGCCGCAAGGUUAAAACUCAAAUGAAUUGACGGGGGCCCGCACAAGCGGUGGAGCAUGUGGUUUAAUUCGAUGCAACGCGAAGAACCUUACCUGGUCUUGACAUCCACAGAACUUAGCAGAGAUGCUUUGGUGCCUUCGGGAACUGUGAGACAGGUGCUGCAUGGCUGUCGUCAGCUCGUGUUGUGAAAUGUUGGGUUAAGUCCCGCAACGAGCGCAACCCUUAUCCUUUGUUGCCAGCGGUUAGGCCGGGAACUCAAAGGAGACUGCCAGUGAUAAACUGGAGGAAGGUGGGGAUGACGUCAAGUCAUCAUGGCCCUUACGACCAGGGCUACACACGUGCUACAAUGGCAUAUACAAAGAGAAGCGACCUCGCGAGAGCAAGCGGACCUCAUAAAGUAUGUCGUAGUCCGGAUUGGAGUCUGCAACUCGACUCCAUGAAGUCGGAAUCGCUAGUAAUCGUAGAUCAGAAUGCUACGGUGAAUACGUUCCCGGGCCUUGUACACACCGCCCGUCACACCAUGGGAGUGGGUUGCAAAAGAAGUAGGUAGCUUAACCUUCGGGAGGGCGCUUACCACUUUGUGAUUCAUGACUGGGGUGAAGUCGUAACAAGGUAACCGUAGGGGAACCUGCGGUUGGAUCACCU